CCAUCUUACACAAAUUACCGGUAAACCUUUGUUUGAUAUAUUUAUUUUUUUCAUCUUCCAGAUCCGUAUAUAUUGGCUUGAUAAAAAUCCUUAAUUUGCAUCCUUUCUCUUAUGUUUAAAAGAUUUUGCAUUAUUGCCAUUUGGCUUCUUCAGUUUCGUGAAUUUGCUUGUUUCAUCUGGCCAUGGUCAGGCUUGUUCUGUUAAUUUGUUUGUUAUGUUUGAGAAUGGCGUUUUGGAGACCGAGCUCUAUGGAGGCCUUUAUUUUUGAAAAAUUCAAAUUCAAACUUUUAUGUUUCAAAAAAUUCUGAAAAAAAAUAUGCGUGUAUGUAAGGAUGUAACCCACAUGUGUGUAAAAUUUCAUGAUGAAAUACAUUGAAAUGCAACCUGUGCAAAAAAGACCGGAUUACCGGCAAAAUUUGCAUGGAUAUAUUUAUUUUCAGUUCCAUCUUCCAGAUUGUCUCUGUUGGCUUGAUGGGGACCCUUCAGUAGCAUCGAUGUUCAGAUUUUUCAUCAUUUUUGCUUUGCUUCAUCAUUUUUGUGCAUUUUGCUAUGGUUUCAUCUGAUUAUGAUUAAGUUUGCUCUGUUGAUUUUCAUUACUUUUGUAGUACUCCCUCCGUCCCAAAAUAAGUGUCGCUGAUUUAGUACAAAGUACAAAGCUGUACUAAAUCAGUGACACUUAUUUUGAGACGGAAGGUGUACCUUUUUAGCUUGUUUUGCUUUUCACCUCGGCAGAGGAAAAUACUUGGGUGUUUCAUGAUUUAUCACGAGGGAUCACUGUUGUAAAUCAGCUUGCAUUUGAGUUACAAUCACGAAGUGGUAGCUCUUUACCAGGGUGAAGGUUUUGAAGUGGCCAAAGUAUUGUUGGUUUCUCUAUGUAAUGUUUAUUAGUGGUUUUAAAUUAGUAUUUUGGUUAUGAUUUGUGCUUCAAAAUUUUCCCUGAAGUGCUGAUACCAGUUCUAUACACCAAGAUUAGUCUUUUGGAUGGUGGUUAGAAGUAUAGAAAUGCCUUCUACAGUGUAUUGCCCCAUAAUGAAAACUAAUAUGUAGAGAUGGUGCAUGACAUGGUCCCUCCCUCUCUCUCGCUGUAAUAAAUUGGAUAAAAUUUAUUUUAAGGUGGCUAAUCUAAAUAUAGGAGGAUGUGGUUGCAGACCUUGGGAUGUUUUCCAGUUUUUUGUUUGGAAACAAUUGAUCUGCUGUUAAUUUGAAGAUGACAAGGAAAUAAGGAGGAAAAUUAAAAGGCUUCUUUGGUGGAGGGGUAGGAGAAGCCCGGAUCAGCCAAGGAAGCAGGUGAGCUGCCGUGUAUGGAUCGGUCGAGGAAGGAGACGUCUUGUGCUAUUUGUUUGGGAUCUGCUUUGAAGCAAGCAUCGUUCCUUGUGGUCACAGGACGAGUAAACAAUGGUUGGUCGGUAGAAGCUUCACUUGCGACUGUGUGCCUUUCUGCCUUAAGAAGUUCUUUUCAUUGUCGAAGAACAACAUAAUGUUUAUGGGCCAGUUUUCAUGUGGUAUAGAAAUAUCAGUGAAUGUAGCAGAUAUUUUGCAUGAUCUUUAAAGCAUAGUCUCACACGGAGAACAGUCACAGUGUGUCAUAAGGUGAUAACUAUAAAGUCCACACCAUGUGAAAGACAUUAUAAAUUUAUGCAUUCAUAGGCUGUUUUCUACUAUGAGCACUUGAUUGUCUUGUGACUGUAGCCAUGGAUAAAGUAGAACUUAAUUUGAUGUGUAAUAUCAUGACGUGAGAUGUAGUUCUCCUGUUGAAUUAAUUCCAUUUAGAAUCCCUGUGCUCGAGGUAGACAAGCAAAAUGGGUAGUGCAUCGUGUUAAAGCCUUCAGCCUUGCUUCCUAGAGAAAUAGAUAUAUGUUUCAAUGUCUUGGUGAGGUGUCUUUUGGUGGAUGGGAGCAAGCAGCACUGCAACAGUACCAGAUGGUGUGGGUAUGUUUCAAUUUUUUUUGCAUUUUGAGGGUUCACUUCCAUCCUUUAGAAAAUUAUUCUCUUUUUUGAGAUGUUUCAAUAUCAACUAUUUUCAUCUUUUGAUUUCCAUUUAAUCCUGGUUCAGAGAGUGGCCUUUUUGUGCCUGGUAGUGUGGGUAUGUUUCAAUAUUGUCUGCAUUUUGAGGCUGCACUUCCAUCCUUUAGCAAAUUAUUCUCUUAUUCAAGAUGUUUCAAUAUCAACUAUUUUCAUCUUUCUAUUUCCAUUUUAAUCCUGGUUCAGACAGUGGCCUUUUUGUGCCUGUUAUUACACUUGAAUGCUAAAUUGCAAAGUGACACAUGAAUCGUUCUGAAGGACUGAUGGUGAUGUUUUCAUAUGGCCAUUCUUACUGGGUGGCUAUUUGCUCGGUCAUUUUUGUAAUCAUGAAAUGUUGAUAGAUGCUGGACAUGCAUAUCGUCCUAGUUAUUUCCAUAGUUUAUUUAAUAGAACAUUUAAGUUAUUUUAAAUAGAGGAAAAAGAUUUCUCCUGGUCCAUUACGUAAGAGUGAGUUUUAUCACAUAGCCCCUUUGUGGGAAAAGAUACAAGAGUUUGCACCCCCAAUCUCUUGUUUGUUGUAUCAAGUUCUUCUGCACCCAUGGUUGCUAAUUUGCUGGCAACCCAUUCGUUCUAUAUGGUUGUUGACAAAAGGUGGUUAUCUGCACUGCCAUUGUUCAUGAAAAUUAUGUCAUACCAGGUUCUGAUAUUUAGCAUGCAUCGUUUAUAUUCUGAAAACAUGUGUUCUUUGUCCUUUCAAUAACUAACUUAAAUAUUAUGCAGAGCGUGAGAAAUUAAUGAUGUCAACUUUCUGAUGGGGAAAAAGGAAAACAUGUGCUUCUGUUAUAUGCCCGAAGAUUGUGCUUAAAUGGGAGAGCAUGAAUGUUUCAUUAAGCUGCCUUGGCCCCAGGUCACAUACACCAACAUCUAAAAUAAAUCCAGCAGGCAGUUGAGAGUUUUUCGGCUGUGAUGAUUACCAAUGCAGAUAGAGCUAUCUAAUCCAGCUUUCGCUUGAUUUUCGUCACUGAGCUGCUACCAGCCUUCUUUUUUCCCCUUUCCUAUUACUACAAGUGUAUGAUUUUGGCAUCCACAAGGUUAAUCUCAAGUCACUACACAAAAAGAAGUUGUGCUAGAGACGGCAAUACCGUACUUCAAUUCCAUACAUGAGUUUCUACCAUCUGCCGGAAUGGGAAAUUGCAGAAAUAGAGGAAAGGUGAGUCAUUCAGUUGCGGCACGAUCGUUGACGAUGUAGGAUUGAAUAUGGUUAAGGGCAGGAUGCCGCUUUCAUCAACAGGAAAGAUUACCAAACCACUUGGAGUUGGAGGUGACAUGAGCCUUGUGAUCAAUUCUGCAGGUAUUCAGUAGCUUUUUUAGCGGUGCUUGUUGGCUUUUGGUAGCAUGCUUGAUAAUUUCCCCGUGUUGUUAGCAUGCGUAAGCGGGUGAAUGGAUUAUCUUGUAAUGAGGAACUUCUAGUUUCUUGAAGCAGCAACAAUCAUGUCCUCCUUUGUUGAAUUUGCUAGAGAAUGCAUAGUUUGGUCAGUUUGCU